GACGAACCGUGCGAACGUUGUUCGGAAUCACUGGGCAUAAAGGGCGCGUAGGCGGCUUAUCAAGUCAGGGGUGAAAUCCUGGAGCUCAACUCCAGAACUGCCUUUGAUACUGAGGAGCUUGAGUCCGGGAGAGGUGAGUGGAACUGCGAGUGUAGAGGUGAAAUUCGUAGAUAUUCGCAAGAACACCAGUGGCGAAGGCGGCUCACUGGCCCGGUACUGACGCUGAGGUGCGAAAGCGUGGGGAGCAAACAGG
rnacentral:rRNA from 1 species